CAUCAUUAUCAUCGUCCUUGGUAUUAUCCUCACCAUCCUCAUCAUCCUCAUCGUCAUCAUCGUCCUCGGUGUUAUCUUCACCAUCCUCGUUGUCAUCAUCGUCCUCGGUGUCAUUGUCACCAUCCUCAUCAUCCUCAUCGUCAUCAUCGUCCUCGGUGUUAUCAUCACCAUCCUCAUCAUCCUCAUUGUCCUCAUUGUUCUUGGCGGCAUCAUCAUCAUCCUCAUCAUCCUCAUCAUCUUCAUCAUCCUCAUCAUCCUCGGUGUCAUUGUCACCAUCCUCAUCACCUUCAUCAUCCUCAUCAUCCUCAUCGUCCUCAUUGUCCUCAUCGUUCUUGGUGUCAUUGUCACCAUCGUCACCAUCCUCGUCGUCAUCAUCGUUCUCAUCCUCAUCAUCCUCAUCGUCCUCGGUGUCAUUGUCACCGUCCUUGUUGUCCUCAUCACCCUCAUCAUCCUCAUCAUCCUCAUCGUUCUUGGUGGCAUCAUCAUCAUCGUCAUCAUCCUCGUCGUCCUCAUCAUCCUCAUCAUUCUCGGUGUCAUUGUCACCAUCCUCAUCAUCCUCAUUGUCUUUAGUGUCAUUGUCACCAUCCUCAUCACCUUCAUUAUCUUUGGUGUCGUUGUCACCAUCCUCACCAUCCUCAUCAUCCUCAUCCUCAUCAUCCUCAUUGUUCUUAGUGUCAUUCUCAUCAUCCUCAUCAUCCUCAGUGUCAUCAUCACCAUCCUCAUCAUCCUCAUCGUCCCCAGUGUCAUUGUCACCGUCCUCAUCAUCUUCAGUAUCGUUGUCACCAUUCUCAUCAUCCUCAUCAUCUUCAUCAUCUUCAGUGUCAUUGUCACCAUCCUCAUUGUCCUCAGUGUCACUGUCACCAUCCUCGUCUUCAUCUUGCUUAUUCUGUGUCCUCAUUCUCAUCAUCCUCAUCAUCUUCAUCGUCGUCAGUGUCACUGUCACCUUCCUCAUCUUCAUCAUCGUCAUCGUCCUCAGCAUCAUUGUCACCAUCCUCAUCCUCAGUGCCCUUAUCAUGGCCAUUCUCAUCAUCUUCGGUGUCAUUGUCACCAUCCUCAUCCUCAUCUCCCUUAUUCUCAUUGUUCCUAUCAUGGCCAUCCUCAUCAUCCUCCUCCUCAGCGUCAUCGUCACCAUCCUCAUCCUCUUCUUCACCCUCCUCAUUGUGGCCAUCUUCAUCCUCAUCAUCCUCGGUGCCAUUGUCACCAUCCUCAUCCUCAUUUUGCUUAUCCUGUGCCCUCAUCGUGGCCAUCUUCAUCCUCGUCAUCAUCCUCGGCCUCACCAUCCUCACCCUCGCCGCUCUCAGUGUCAUUGUCACCAUCCUCAUCCUCACCCUCCUCAUCCUCUUCUUUCUCAACGUUCUCGUUCCCUCGCCGUCUUCAUCAUUCUCAUCCUCACCAUCCUCAUCUUCAUCCUCCUGAACCUCAGCCUCACCAUCCUCAUCCUCACCAGGCUGCGUUCUCCUGGUCACCAUCCCUGUCCUCGUCCUCACGCUCCUCCCUCUUCUUCCUCACCAUCCUUGGCGUCUUCACCCUCCUCAUCCUCACUCUCCUCCUCAGCCUCUCCAUCCUCAUCCUCACCCUUCUGAUCUUCAGCCUCAUCCCCACCAUCCUCAUCCUCCUCGUAUUUAUUCUCAUCAUCACCUCCUCCUCAUUCCCACCAUCCUCAUCCUCGCCCUCCCCAGCCNNNNNNNNNNNNNNNNNNNNNNNNNNNNNNNN
rnacentral:lncRNA from 1 species